AUUGAACGCUGGCGGCAGGCCUAACACAUGCAAGUCGAGCGAGCGUCGGACGGGUGAGUAAUGUAUGGGGACUGCCCGAUAGAGGGGGAUAACUACUGGAAACGGUGGCUAAUACCGCCUACUGUCGGAUAACCCAUAUGUGAUUAGCUAGUAGGUAAGGUAAUGGCUUACCUAGGCGACGAUCCCUAGCUGGUCUGAGAGGAUGAUCAGCAACAGUGGAACUGAGACACGGCACAGACUCCUACGGAGGCAGAAGGGGGGAAUAGUGCACAAUGGGCGCAAGCCUGAUGCAGACAUGCCGCGUGUAUGAAGAAGGCCCUAGGGUUGUAAAGUACUUUCAGUCGGGAGGCGUUACCGACAGAAGAAGCACCGGCUAACUCCGUGCCAGCAGCCGCGGUAAUUC
rnacentral:rRNA from 1 species